rnacentral:ncRNA from 12 species
GGGUCCAGCCGAAAGGCUGGAGGAUAUGGAUGGUCGGGCCGCCAUCC